CCAAUAGCGUAUAUUAAAGUUGUUGCAGUUAAAAAGCUCGUAGUUGAACUUCGGGAUUCACCCAUUGGUCAGGCUUAAUUGUCUGCACUGGUGAGAUGAGUCUCUACCUUCUGAGGAACUUUCAUGCCAUUUAUUUGGUGUGGUUGGAAAUCAGGACUGUUACUUUGAAAAAAUUAGAGUGUUUAAAGCAGGCUAACGUCUGAAUACAUUAGCAUGGAAUAAUGAAAUAGGACGGACUGAUUCUAUUUCGUUGGUUUCUAGGAUCACCGUAAUGAUUAAUAGGGAUAGUUGGGGGCAUUAGUAUUCAAUUGCCAGAGGUGAAAUUCUUGGAUUUAUUGAAGACUAACUACUGCGAAAGCAUUUGCCAAGGAUGUUUUCAUUAAUCAAGAACGAAAGUUAGGGGAUCGAAGACGAUCAGAUACCGUCGUAGUCUUAACCAUAAACUAUGCCGACUAGGGAUCGGACGAAGUUAAUUUUAUAAUGACGCGUUCGGCACCUUACG
rnacentral:rRNA from 1 species